GUUGUAUUGUGUGAUGAGGCUACUGAAGCUUUUGAUAGCUCAACAGGAUUUAGGUUGUAAAUUGCUUUGGUAACUGACUUAUCAUAUAUUUACUUUUGAUUUGCUAGAUUUUGUGAUGAGGCUACUAGUGCUCUUGAUAGCACAACAGAAGCAGAAAUACUCAGUUCACUGAAGGCUAUAGCAAGUAAUCGGACUUCUAUCUUCAUUGCUCAUCGACUUACAACUGCAAUGCAAUGUGAUGAGAUAAUCGUGCUCGAGAAUGGAAAGGUGGUAGAACAGGGUCCGCAUGAAAUCCUCUUGUCAAGGGCAGGAAGAUAUGCAGAGCUUUGGAAUCAACAGAACAAUAAUGAUGCCAUUAAUACAGUUUCAGUAGUAUAAGCAUUGGGCUCAUCAGACCAACAAAUGAUGUGAUGCUAUGGUGCUACCAAUUUAAUUUCAAAAGUAUGAAAGUUCAAUUGCUAAAGUUCAAUGCCUACAAAAGACAACAUUCGCCUCAAAAUUUUCUUCUCUUGUAUACAUAUGUAUGUACACACACAGAUGAAAAAGUAGGUGUAUACAAUGUGUUCAAAGAGUUAUUUUUCCUGUCAUUGGAAUGUGUGGAACAGUAAGCUUCAAUACACUUUACGAGUUACAUGUAUAAGAUUUGUAACAUACACAUUGCUAACUUAUUGUAUGCACAGACUUUGUGA